rnacentral:rRNA from 1 species
GAGGGGCAAGCGUUGUUCGGAAUUACUGGGCGUAAAGGGCGCGUAGGCGGCCUGCUAAGUCGAACGUGAAAUCCCUGGGCUCAACCCAGGAACUGCGUCCGAGACUGGUUGGCUUGAAUCCGGGAGAGGGAUGUGGAAUUCCAGGUGUAGCGGUGAAAUGCGUAGAUAUCUGGAGGAACACCGGUGGCGAAGGCGACAUCCUGGACCGGUAUUGACGCUGAGGCGCGAAAGCCAGGGGAGCAAACGGGAUUAGAUACCCCGGUAGUCCUGGCCCUAAACGAUGAAUGCUUGGUGUGGUGGGUAUCGAUCCCUACCGUGCCGAAGCUAACGCAUUAGGCAUUCCGCCUGGGGAGUACGGUCGCAAGGCUG